rnacentral:rRNA from 1 species
AACAAGAUUUAUGCUACGGCCUUGUACAACCGAUCUCUCGAUCUCGGAAGUUAAGCAACGCGCGGUCCGGACAGUUCUUGGAUGGGGGACCACCCAAGGACGACCAGAUUACUGUUGCUG